CUCAGAGUUAUAGCUGUAGCUUUAGUAGCCAGUUUAUUCUAUAUUCUGGAUAACCUGGCAAAUAACUAAUGAUGUUAGGCAUUAGAAAAUAAUAAUGAACAAUGAGAUUACUGAUGUAAUCUAUAUGUUGGAUGAAGUAUUUUCUUACAAACAUUCCGUUUCAUUUUAAGCAAAAUGUAUGUUAAAGGAUGUGUUACAUCAGCAAAGUCAUUAAUUGGGCUUCUGGAAUGAAAGAUUUUUACCUAGAUAUUAUAAACUAUGCCUCUUGAACAAUUAUAUUUGUUAUUAUUCUUUUCUGUAAACAAAGAUUUUUUGGGCUCAAGACUGCAGGCAAAAAUUGAAUUCAAAAUCCCUCACACAGUAGGCAUCCAGCUAAAGAGCUCUUGGUACUUUGAAACCAAGACUUAUCAUUUAAAAAUAUUAAGUUAACUGAUGUUCCAUUAUAAGAAAAAUGCUAUUUUGCUUAAGAGUUGUAUUAAAAAUAUUGGUGGUUAACAUAAGAGAUAGCUAUAUUUAAAAUUUCAGUUAAUGUAUUCAUCUCUUUUAACAGGAGAAAGCAUAGUUUACUUUUAAUAGUAGUCGAAGUUGAGAACAUAAGCAUGCAUAAAGUUCAGUUUAACAGCUAAGUCAACACUUCCGUCAGAAUGAACAUCACUGCAUUUUUGCUAGUGCUUAGAGGUAUUUUUCUCUAAGGAUGGUGGCCAGUUGUAACUAUUCUUCAUCAGGCUUUUUCAAGUCACUUACAUACAAGUAAUGAGUUGAAGAUGUGUUUCACCCAACAGGGUGUAUUUAUUCUGACUGCUCAUCAUCAAGACUUAAGUUAGGACAGCACUUCCAACCAGGAAAUGUGCAGUCAUUUCGAUUACGUCCACACAGUUUUCGAUGUGUUAGGUCAUGGGGAAGUUCUAGUGUUCUCACGUGUGUUGCUAUACAAUCACAGUGUGUCCAGCCCUGGUUACAGUAGCAUUGAUACUAACAGAGCUGCUGGUCUCCCUGGACCUUUCUCUAGUCACUGACCGCUUCCCUUGUGCCUCGUGUGUGAGUAGUUACCCAGAUCAAGUUUACUUAACUACUGCUGCUUCAUUACACAAGUUUUUGACGUGACCUCUAAUAUACAUAGAUAUAUCUAGAAUUUAUUUGGUAAAGUUUAGAGUUAGAAACACUAAAUAAUUUACUAAUAGAGAGAAGUAUUAGAUUUUUUACUCAAUACUACUAUUGUUGCUUUCAAAAAUAUAAGUAUUGGCAAAAGUAGUUAGUAAGUUGUGCAUUUAGUAUGUUCUACUUGCUAGUAUUAGUAACCAUAUAAUUAACAAUGAAUGAGUGUAUUAUUUAAUGUCCACGUCUGUUACCUUCUAUUCUAAGAAUCCUCUGGAUUUAUCUAUAAAACACAAAUUUCAUUAUGCUCUGAAUUUAGCCAUUCUCAAUUGAAUUCUAGAAUAUUCUACAGUAGAAUGUGAGAAAGUAAUAGAACCAACUUGCUUGGAGUAUUUUGAACCAAUGUUGUCCUUCUGUAUAUCAGUCAAUAUUUAGCAUUUCUGCUGCCUUUGAGACGAUGAUGGUUUAACUUCAGGAAAUUGAUAAUUUCUCUGACGUCUCCUUUCAUUAUCAUUGUGCAACUUUUAACAACAAAAUUUACUACAUUUUUGUCUGUUUUUCGGAUGUUGUAAUAUUGCCUGCUAGUGCUAGUUUGAAGCAGAGAUAACAAUGGUAUUUAAAAUUCUCAAGUCAUUGGUAUUGCCAGUAUUUUCCAUUAUCAUUAUAUUUUUUACUGUUAUUAUGUUCUUUUCCCUUGUCCACCAUAGAGAACAAGUUCAAAUGAGUAGUGAGUAGCCAAAAUUGGAUGAAGAGAGUAGAGGAACUUACAGUAAGAUGGAGAGAAGGCUAGAUGGAACAUGGAUAAUCAGUGUCUCAGCAUCUGGGUAGUUGCUGAUAGUUUCUGUGACAUUGGAAAACCCCCUGCUACAAUCAAUUUAGGCUUAUCUCUUGUUGAUACCAUUUUACUGUAAGAGUUGUUAAUGCAUCUAAGCAUUUCGUUUGAGUGAUUUUAUCUAAGCAAUUUAUAUUGCUCAUUCUUUUCAGCUGGUCAGAUGCCUUUGAGAAAUUAUUUUAAAUUUUAAAUAUAAUUGUGUAGUGUUUGGUAACAUGAAAUGUUAAGAACAUUGUGAACGAGGCAGCUAUUUAAUGCUGAGGAGAAAUAAAUAGGUUGCCAAAAGUUUGGUUGAAAAAGCUGACCUUUUUUCCAGGUCUCCUAUUGCAAAGAAAGGAUACUAAGUAUUAUAGUAAACUGUCACCAGAGGAAAGAUGAACACCUUGUUUAUAAAGGGUGAUUUUCACUUUAAAAUUUGGGCCGUUUUGGAGUUCUUGCUACCUUGAGGGUCUCCAUAUCUAUUGGUAUUGUGAAUACCUGUAGCAUGUAACGUAGCGCUUACACAAUUCAACACUCUCGUCUUUUUGGUAUUGAUAGCUUUAUACAUAAACAAAGAUGUGGACAAAACAGCAAGAAUGAAAGGUGUAUUUCUUCUUGUGGCUUUGCUUGCCUCUGACCAAGUACAGGGUUUAAUUGCAUAGGCUGUUAACUAAAUGGAAAGCUGUCUGCCUAGUGAGAGUUCUGUGUUCUUGCCAUGCACAUGGGGUGAAGUUGAACCUACUGGUGCCUGAAGUCAGUGUUUUACAACCUCAACAACGACAACAUUGUGGUGCUGCUCACUUCAGCCCUGAGUGACAUUUUUAAUUCCUGUACCAAAGAGUUCAUUUUCUUUUUGGUUGAGAGUUUCCUUCUCGCAUCCUUGUGUUUAUAAAGUAGAAGUUAAUGUUACUAAGAAUAAUUUUGCUUAAUGGAUUGUAGUUUUUGCACACUGCUGCCUCAGUUUACUGGUUUUAAAUGUCUCUCAUUUGGGCAUUUUUUUUAAGUUAGGCAGAUUAGCGUGGUUUUUCAUUUUGUAUGUUAGCAUAGAUUGGCUACUUUAAAAGGUAUUUUAAUAGGUUGAAGUUACAAAAGAUAAUUGAAGCUCUUUUCACAAGAUUUGUUUUGUUUGGUUUUAUUUCUGCAAGAAAAAGAAAUAAUAAGAACUCUACUUUUAUUUCUAUAAAUGAACUAUAUUGAUUAUUGGGCUCUUUUAAUGAAUGCUGAAACAAAAUGCUAAAAUGAAAGUUAAGGGCCAUUCUGAUUACAAAUGAAGAAUUCUGCGUCUGUGUAUGUGAGUGUGUGUGUAAUCCUUGGUGGCAUUAAAGAAUGAUAUUGCCAUUUGUCUAUUUUGCAAAUAAAGAUAAAAUUAAAGAACACUUUUAAAAUAUACAUAUACAAACACUUGCCCAAUAGGAAAUGCAAAUGUACUUUGAUUUAAGCAAAACUACUAGUAGAAAACUGAACUUUACAAAAAAAAAGUCUUGAUGUUGUUACUCUUUACAUAAAAAGUUAGAUUAUGUUAAAAACUAAUUCUGCUUAGUGAUUCAUUUUACAAAAAAUGGGAAAAAGCACCCUUUAGAAGUACUUGUAAUUGUCCAAAUGUAAUACUGCUGUGUAUCCUAUUCUGAUUCCCUAUUUGUUUCCACAGACUUUCAAAGCACUCAUCUAGUGUCCUUAACACUGUAGCUGAAAUGGUUAAAAAUUUUGGCCAGAAGAUACAAUCUGUAUGUACUGGAAAAGUAGACAAUCACGUUUGAGAAUGUUUUACAUUAUUUUUCAAUCACCAACUAAAAUCAAUCUCUCUUUGAAUGUAGAUACAGUAUAUGGUUUUGCAGUGAAUUCUGAAUGGAAAAAAAGAAUCAAGUCUGACACUUACAUGAAAUGUGACUUAGGAUCAUUUGAAUGAUAUAUAGAAAUAUAGACGUACAUGUCAUUCAGCAGCAACACAUGUCUCUCUAAUUGUCAACAAUAUAUUUCCCAGAUUUUGUUGCCACAGUAUCGGUUCUGGGUUAUCUGGCUUGUUUAUGUAUUAUUUAAAUUAACAUAGCUGAAUGCAGCUGUUUGUUCAAGUUAUACAGUGGUAGAGAGUUCACCACUCUCUGCCGUCCUCCAGAGAUGACCAUUAAAAAGAAAUUUCUACUUUAGCAUAGGUAGAAUAAAGCAAAUCAGUGAUAUCCUAGGAAGAAUUUUCACCACAAUCAGAGACACUCAGAUGAUCACGUGCAGGUCUGACAUGCGGGGAACAGGGCAGGCUGUUGGUGAGACCUGAGCACACACGACCCUGCUUGCAUGAGCUCUGUGUCCCUGGAAUUAGUCUUAAGUUCAACUGGUGAGUUUAAUGAAUAGGCAAAAUCUGUGAUAUUUUGAGGCUCCCAAAAUGUUGUGUCAACCUCAGAUUGUAUCUAAUACUAUAUUCCUAAAAUAAAAGACUUUUAUUUUAAUAGUGGUGUGUUCCAAGUGCCCUAUGAAGAUUUUGCUUUUAAGUUUGUCAGGCAUUCUUUCAUUCAGUGCGUAUGUUUAAAUCGGAGGGCUGUUUUACUGCGUUGUCUGCUGUUUCACCUGUCUGUUCCCCUAAGAGCAUUGAAAGAAAAUCUUCACUAACAUUUCUAAUGCUAAUGGUAAUAAAGAAAAUACUAAUUGAGAGAGAUGAGAAGAGGCAGGAGGAAAAUAUCAAGUGGGAGCCAUGUAUCUAAGAUAUACCUGUUUAAGCGAAAAGUCUACACUGGUUCUUAAAAUGGAAAAUAAACCAUGUAUCUACCUUAAGAACAAUAUUUUUUUUUAAUUUAUUUUAGUGGUUUAGUUUUAUCAUGUUACCUUUCUAUUUUUCUUUGCAGAUUGUUUUUUAUUUAAAUUCUGGAAUUUUUACUUCUCUUGAAAUGUAUUAUGUACUG
ensembl:lncRNA